UACGUAGGGGGCAAGCGUUGUCCGGAUUUAUUGGGCGUAAAGAGCGUGUAGGCGGCCCUUCAGGUCAGCUGUGAAAACUCGAGGCUCAACCUCGAGACGUCGGUUGAAACCGUUUGGCUAGAGUCCGGAAGAGGAGAGUGGAAUUCCCGGUGUAGCGGUGAAAUGCGCAGAUAUCGGGAAGAACACCCGUGGCGAAGGCGGCUCUCUGGGACGGUACUGACGCUGAGACGCGAAAGCGUGGGGAGCGAACAGG
rnacentral:rRNA from 1 species